AGUGAACGCUGGCGGUAUGCCUAACACAUGCAAGUCGAACGGCAGCACAGUAAGAGCUUGCUCUUACGGGUGGCGAGUGGCGGACGGGUGCGGAAUACAUCGGAAUCUACUUUUUCGUGGGGGAUAACGUAGGACAACUUACGCUAAUACCGCAUACGACCUACGGGUGAAAGCAGGGGAUCUUCGGACCUUGCGCGAUUGAAUGAGCCGAUGUCGGAUUAGCUAGUUGGUGGGGUAAAGGCCCACCAAGGCGACGAUCCGUAGCUGGUCUGAGAGGAUGAUCAGCCACACUGGAACUGAGACACGGUCCAGACUCCUACGGGAGGCAGCAGUGGGGAAUAUUGGACAAUGGGCGCAAGCCUGAUCCAGCCAUACCGCGUGGGUGAAGAAGGCCUUCGGGUUGUAAAGCCCUUUUGUUGGGAAAGAAAAGCAGCAGGUUAAUACGCCGCUGUUCUGACGGUACCCAAAGAAUAAGCAACGGCUAACUUCGUG
rnacentral:rRNA from 1 species